GAUGAACGCUGGCGGCGUGCUUAACACAUGCAAGUCGAACGAUGAAGCCCAGCUUGCUGGGUGGAUUAGUGGCGAACGGGUGAGUAACACGUGAGCAACCUGCCCCUGACUCUGGGAUAAGCGCUGGAAACGGCGUCUAAUACUGGAUAUGUCCCGUCACCGCAUGGGGUGCGGGUGGAAAGAUUUUUCGUUUGGGGAUGGGCUCGCGGCCUAUCAGCUUGUUGGUGAGGAAAUGGCUCACCAAGGCGUCGACGGGUAGCCGGCCUGGGAGGGUGACCGGCCACACUGGGACUGAGACACGGCCCAGACUCCUACGGGAGGCAGCAGUGGGGAAUAUUGCACAAUGGGCGGAAGCCUGAUGCAGCAACGCCGCGUGAGGGAUGACGGCCUUCGGGUUGUAAACCUCUUUUAGCAGGGAAGAAGCGAAAGUGACGGUACCUGCAGAAAAAGCACCGGCUAACUACGUG
rnacentral:rRNA from 1 species